ensembl:lncRNA
GGAAAGUAUUUUUAUGUGGUGAAUGUCCGUGUGAUUGUGAGAGGAGCACGCCGAGGGUGUGUUCGUGCAGGCUUUGAGCGGGCAGCCAGUGAAGUGCACCGUCUCCCAUGAUGGUGGCACGACCACGUACGCCCUCCAGACCGAGUUUUCUGACAAGGAUGUGCAGAAGCCCGAGUUCUCGUGGUUUAACAUCUCCAAAUACGUCCUCGCCAACCACCUCGAUCAAAUUGCUGUGGUGAUAAGUCGCAGCUUCAACGCUCUCACUAUCAGAGCUUGCAUCGAAAACCUUUUCUGUGAAGGACACGUCAACUCCAAGGGGAAACCUCUCGACUACACGGCCAACUGCACCACCGUCUGCCCUCCCGUAGCUUUGCCCGGAGACCAAGGGAACUCUCAUCACUGGAUCAUCCCUGUCAUUGUCAUUGUCAUAGUGAUAGUGAUAGCGCUUGCAUGCAUCAUCCUGUGCUGCAGAAAUGAAAAUCUCAGGAGAUGCCGCUGUGGGCAAACCAGAGGACUUUACAUCGUCGGGAAGAAAGAAGCAGCAAAGCCAGAAAUUGUGUAGAAAGAACAGAUCUGAAACGAUGAUCUUUCCCCUUUUUUCACUUUGAAGUAGAGUGUGCAUGAAAAGGUUAAUCUCCACCUGUGAGUGGAUGCUUUCUGUAGUUUCCCACUGCAUCUACACAGUAAGUGUAGAUGCAGUGGGAGUGUGGACACUUCCUCUGGACUCAUCUUCAGUUUCUCUUUGUUCGUACUUUGGCACAGUUAAUGACAGCACAGUGGUGGUAAUGAGUGACAGAAUGACACUUAUGUGACUGGAUGCUGGAGACUUGAGGUGCUAAACUCUAAGUCAUGUGUGACCUUUUAUUUUAAGCAUUACUUAAUGAUGAUAAUAAUAAUAAUAAUAAUAAUAAUAAUAAUAAUAAUAAUUCGUCUCUGAAGCAGUGGGCAGCCACUGGGCGCCCGGGGAGCAGCGUGUAGGGACGGUACCUUGCUCAGGGGUACCUCAGGGUAGCUGUUUAGUGGAUUCGAACCCUCCUGUUUUGCAUUAUACUUGCCAAAGCUGAACCCCAGCUCACUGAUUAGUGUCACUGUAACUGUAUCUGGCUACGGCCUCGAUCCCGUUGUUGAUUUUAUUCCACUUGCCGGUUAGCUGUGAGGGAUUGGUGCACAGGUGAAAAGUUCUCUGGGCUGUGGAAGCUCUCAGACUCUUUGCUGCACCAGCGAGUGCACUUUGAGGAGCCAAAAAGCAUUAAUACAUUAAUACAACCCCCCCCGUGUAAACCAGCUGUGGAAGCUCAGAGACUCAUAAUGCAGCACCAGGGCGUGCACUUUCAGUGUCCUAUAGCAUUACAGCACAUAGUAUAUAUAACAUAUAGUAAUAUAAAGAUGAAUAUAGAUGACUUACUAUCUAUAGCUACUGAUAUUUUAUAAUAUGAAACUAUAUUAUUUAUAUAUAAAUAUAUUAUUUUUAUUAUUAUAUAACUUAUAAAGAUGAACAUUGCGAUCUUAAACUACUCGUCAUGUGUCCUCUUUACGCUGUCCUUAUGAAGUGUAUAUUUUAAGCUGUCAAUCAAACAUUUGUUUCUCUAUCUGCUGUAUUACUGUUUCUUUUUCACUCA